GGAAAAGGGAAUUUAGACAACUGUGACAAAUGAGAUUAUUUAAAACCAUUCCUAGAGCUUAAUGUUUUCUAGAGAGGCAAGUCUGAUUUUUCCAUGUUCGAAGUAGGAAAUAGUGCAUGACCAGUAUUGUGUUCUUCGAUUCACAGGACAAAACUUUAAAACUCAAGCAGACCUUCCAUGCAACAUCUGGCCCAACAGCUGUAUUUUGAAAAUGGAUGAAGUAAGAGCUACAGAAGUGGAAUCACUGAGUGAACUAAGGCAGAACCAAGGAAUGAAGAGUCCCUGCCUCCGGGGAAGAAAGAAGAGCAUCUUGUACCAUCCUUGA
rnacentral:lncRNA from 1 species